rnacentral:rRNA from 1 species
UACGGGGGGAGCAAGCGUUGUUCGGAAUCACUGGGCGUAAAGGGCGUGUAGGCGGUUCGGUAAGUGGGAUGUGAAAUGCCCGGGCUCACCCCGGGACCUGCAUCCCAUACUGCUGAGCUUGAGUACAGGAGAGGGUGGGGGAAUUCCUGGUGUAGCGGUGAAAUGCGUAGAUAUCUGGAGGAACACCGGUGGCGAAGGCGGCAUCCUGGACCAACACUGACGCUGAGUGAGCGAAAGCCAGGGGAGCAAACGGG